AUUCCAGAGACAGCGUUAUCUUUUGGUAAUGCUGUCCCGGCAGCAAGCGAAGGUGUCGUUGGCACCCGCGGUAUGGUCCCCCGGCUAUGCCGCGUUUUUUUUUA
rnacentral:ncRNA from 1 species